UAUUAAAAACUGAAUAUUUGCUUCUUUCGCAAAUUGAAUCCUAAUUCUCUGUAGCUCCUCUCCCAUUCCGUCGCCGCCGUCGCGCCACCCGAGCAUAACCGCCUCGUUGGGUGUCCCGUUCUCUCCGUCUGUUGUGCCGUCGCCGACCUCCAAAGCAUCGCCGCUGCUGUCGUCACAAGCAGCGCCGCCGUCCUCAGACAACUUUGUGAUUCAACUGCAGGUUUUCUUUGGCAGCUCAUGCUUUCUGAGAUGAAUAAAGAACUCAAAGGAUUAAGAUGCGUGGUGAGUGGUUCUGGAAAGAUUGCAAUGCAUGUUUUGGAGAAGCUAAUUGCUUAUGGUGCUCUUCCCGUUUCCGUAUCAGAUUCUAAAGGAUAUUUGGUUGAUGAAGAUGGAUUUGACUACAUGAAAAUACAAUUUCUGAGAUACAUCAAAGCUCAACAGAGAAGUUUGAGAGACUAUUCAAAAAUAUAUGCUCGGUCCAAAUACUAUGAUGAAGCAAAACCCUGAAAUGAAAGGUGUGAUCUUGCAUUUGCACGUGCUUCACAGAAUUAAAUUAAUCCAUCCGAUGCCAUGAAUUUUGUUAAUUCAAGUUGUCGUAUACUAGUAGAAGCCACUUGUUGGUAAAUCCUAGGUUGAAACAUGCCUUGUACCCCGGAGGCAAUUCAAGUUCUAUGGAAAGCUAAUAUUCUUGUUGCUCCUGCAAUGGCAGCUGGAGCUGGAGGGGUAUGGUGGUAUUGAACUUUGGGUGAUUAAAAUAAGAGGUAGUGCUUUCCUAUGGCACCACGUUCGCUGCAUGGUUGCUGUUCUAUUCAUGAUUGGCAAAGGCCUGGAAUCUCCAAAUGUAAUUGAUAUGCUACUGGACACUACUAGUAUCCCAAGGAAACAGUACACCAUGGCUUCGGAUAUUCCAUUGGUUCUUCAGUCGUGUGAAUUUGAAGAUAUUAAGUUUAUAUGCUCAUGAGAUUCUGGAGAAGCACUGCGUGUACAUUUGGUGAACGAAUGCCAAACUUACCAGCUUGAAGCUGCUAUCUUUCAUGAGGCACUUCGUAAUUGUGUGCCUUUAUUAGAAGAUCAACCUACUCGAGGAAUAAAAAAGAAACCUUCACAUGUCCCUAUUAUGCUGCGACCAACUGAGCAAUCAUGUGAAGAGCGCCGCUCCAAAUUCGACUCAACAUGAAGGCCAUAUUCAUACUGCUCAUCUCAAUAUUGUAGGCCUUCCUAUAUAGGUUGUAUUAUCAAAUGAUCACUUUUUUCCUAAUUGAAAGUUCUGAUGUAGAUUGUAAUCUUUUUAUCUAGGCUGUUGAAGCCCCUCUGAGAUUUUAUUGUGAGCAAAAAAGUCAAAGAUAAUUAAUUAUCAAUUGUUGAUGCAAAAUUACUCACCCU